GCAUCUACACGACAAAAUGGGACAAAAAAGAAGAAAGAAGGCAGGAGGAAGAGGAAAGAGGCUGGACGCACACUCGGGGCCCGAGUGUGGCGACUGCUCUGGGAAGCAGUGUGACUCUGAUGGUUGCAUGAGUCACUGGCCAGCAAACCAACAUGAACUGCAUCCACGGGAGACUUUUCUGUAUUGCAACACAUAGAAAGGAAGGAAAUCAAAAUGGCAAGGAGGCACAGCAUCGAGCGAGGACUACAAAGGAUGUGCUCCACGCCUGUGAAACUCAAGUAUGAAAGGGGAAGCACUUUGAAAUAUUUUACUAAAAGAUGCAGGCGGAUUUUUUUUUCUUUUGCCUUUCUAGCCAGUGAGCAAAGAACCUUGUCUAAAGAAGACACCGUUGCAGAUUUGCUUGAUGUGGGAAGAAUUUCCGGCUUUCAUCUCCAAAACGGCAAACAAACCAAAACAAGAGAUGCUCCUUUUUUUUUUUUUUUUUUAAAUUGAAAUAUGAACUUUAUUUCACCCAUACAAAAUAAAAAGAAUGUUAAAAGUUUACAAUACAGUGUCAACUGUCUGUUCGCAACCAUUUCAUUACAAGACUGACACAUAAACGGGAGCCCCAUCUUAUAACAAUUAAAACAAUCUAAAAGAGGGGGGGGUGGAGAAACAAAUGCUGAAGGUAAAUUUACUCAAAAUCGGAGGGGGUGGCCAGAAUUGAAAUUAGAGAGGACAAUGGAGAGAAACAACUUUAAAAACAAAGUUAUGGUCCAAGAGUCACAGUAUACUUCGGAUUGGGCCAUUCGGGUGGGGGGAACUUAACGGUGGUAUAAAAUAAUAUACAAGCUCCAGCUGCCGAAGCAACUAACCUCUGGCGGCGUCCAAAACAACAAUGAACACAAUGCGAAUCCUUAACCUGCUGAUGUGCGGUUGGCUCCAGGGCUGUGGAAGUUUACAGUUCUCUUGAUAAAAACGUGACUUAAAAAUAGGAACUAAUUCAAAAAAGCAGCGGCUAGCUUAACCUAUAGUAAAAAUACACCUGCUUCCUUGUUUACGUUACAGCCUGACGACUGGACUGACUAGCAAGUGGUGACAAAGCCGGGAAGUGGGGGCUCACAUCUUAAACAGCGGUGUGUCGUAGCCAAUCGAUAACACGGUAAUGUACCACUUCAGCGGCCAGCGUUUCCCUUCGCCGUCCAAAUACUCUACAAACUGCUGCCCUGAACUCAGCUAGUCGCCUUUUGUAUGAGCAACGAAGGCCAGAAUAAGGCGUUAACUACCACUUAUGGAAUAUUAUCUUUAACCGACCUGAGGAUCUGAAUGACGACGACUGAUAUGUUCACUUCGCAUCUACUACAGAGGAUUGAGGAAGAAAGAAAAGUGCCGAAAAGGGGAAAAAAAAAA